CUGCGCCUGAGGCUGUGGUGGGAUGGCUCUGAAGCUCACGCUCACCCCCAACGUCUGCACCACCUGCUGGAUGAGAGCAUUGUGGCGGUUGGAGUCUGGGAAAUGGAUGUGGCAGGAAGUGGCUUCCAUCACCUUCUUGAUGUUUCCGCCACCUUUGCCGAUUACAUGGGAAUGCUCCGUGUAGGCCACGUCCAUUUUGAGGGUGACCUUAUUUACCUGAAACAUUGGCUUUCUUCCCUUCCACCUUCACAUGUGGGUCUGCAAGAGGAAACAGCUUAGUAAGAUUGUACAAUGUAGUUUGACUGCCAAGCGAUUGAUAUAAACAGUAGCAGGGAACAACUAAAUGGAGCUAAUUAUAGGAUGUGAGUGACACUACAAAUC